CAGGCAUAUCACGUUGAAACACCGGUUCUCUUACGAUCACCGAAGUUAAGCAACGUGGAGACUGGUCAGUGCUUAGAUGGGUGACCGCUU